AGUGGGUGGGGCCAGCAGCAACUCAUUUGCAUUAAAGUGGCAGAGCUCUGAAACGGCUCAUUCUGGAAGGUACCGACAACAUCAAUAAGAGCUGCCGAAUCACUUUAUGUGAGAGGGAUUUAGUGCAGGAAACCUCAUGAACACGUUUUAUCUGGAUUAUAGAAUACCUUGUUUGUCUAAAGAGGUGAAAUACAUUCCCUUUUUAAAGGUGGUCACUUUAUUCAACUGGCCUUACAAAACACAAACACAUCUGUAACUCAGUCAUGAGAUAAACACCAGGUCCACGUCUACAACUCACUGACUGUUAAGAGUGAAUCCAAAACAAGACGGCCAUCUAAGCCAAUCGAGUUUAUAGAUAUUAUAGAUAUGUUAGCUGCAGCAGUAGUUGUCACCCCUCCAUAAAACAUACUCCAAGUGAGACACUAUUUAUUUUCAAGACUGAACCAUAACUCCAUGAAAAUCUCAUUUUAAAAGCCUAGCUUUAAAGAGCAGCGGGUGAUUUUCAUUUCUUCAAGGAACGCGAGGCCUUUACUUCAUUUGUGCAGUUGUUGAAGGGCGGUGGUGUCUCUGAGGGGAUGAGCAGCGGCGGUGCACUCAAUGACCUCUGCCUGCACUGUCCAAAUUACAUUUAUUUCCAUUUAUUUUUAGUCUCCACUUCCAGUCAAGAACGAACACGACCAUAAAUGAGAAAAAGUCUGAAACAACGUGAAAAUCUGAGCACAUACAUUUUGAGUGCAGAUUCCUGACAGAAGCAGAGCUGCUACGGUGGAAAAAGUGUGCGUGGGUGAGAGAAGUAAAAAGCAUAACAAAUCAUCCGUACAAAGAGUUGAUUCUGUGCUGCGGGGGAAAGGAACUCGCUCAGGGUGGGGAGCUCUGCGGUGCACAGAGAAGGUCUGUGAGUCAGCUCAGAGGUCAGGGCUCGAUCCAAGGUCAGAGGUCAGCAGGGCGCGCCGUUUAGGUGUCGGAAUACGAUGGACAAUGACGGUUCUUAUCAGCACUAGAGACAUUCUCUGGAUACUAUCUUUAUCUUCUACAGAGGAGAGGCCUGACACACGUGUUUCCAUUCUCCUCCUGGCUGCUGCAGUCGGUCCGGUCAAGGCGACGUGGCUGGCGGAUCGAGGGACGUUGGCUGUAUGAGCGUCCCUGCCAACAAUCACGCAAAAUCCUCCUAACAUUCCUGCAAACAGCAGACUCAGAGCGAAGGCAUGUGUGACAAUUUGCUGGGUCUGAGUGCUCACACAGAGACGUCCUGGUGUGCGGUUUCACUAUCUGUCUGAGCCCUUUGUAGUGGUUAGCUUGUGGUUUCCUCCAGCAGCUCGGAGCCUACCGACAACAGCUCCGGCAACGUUCCCGGCAUCCUCCAGUUACCCUCAAGAAUGGGCUGGAAAACCUGAGAGGCAGCACGCCAGAUGCAGGGAAGAAAAAACAACUGAACAGAGGGAUAAUUUAAGAUGCAGAACUGCUUUUACCGUACGAACCCACGCUAACGAUAAACGGAGAAGGAAGUGACGCGCCGCCAUCAGCGUCAGCCUGAAGAAGCCGGCAGCCGUCGGCGAAACUGUAGCGUCAAUAACAGGUAAACAAAACCGUUUCUGUGUUUUAAAAAAGAACGACAACAUGGAAUUAGAAAUAACGCACAGCAAGAACACACCUAAGACGAACCCACGCGGUCUCUGCGCUCCUCUGGCAGCCGUCUCCUUGUCGUCCCUAAAGUCAGGCCACAUAUUCACGGCGAGGCGUCCUUCCAGUACUACGGUCCUCGUCUCUGGAACGAGCUGCCAGGGGACCUCAGGAGCGUGUGUGUGUGUGUGUGUGUGCUGGAGGAUGUGUUGUGAAGGGGUUUUUAUAAUUCUGGGUAUGGGAGGGAAUGUGGGUAUGUGGGGCCUUUUUAAUUUGUUGAGCACUUUGAGUUGCAUGUAUUGUAGGAUUAAGUGCUGUAUAAAUAAAUGAAGUUUGAGUUGGAUUUCACAAUACAGCACGUCCCUUAGUUAAAGCUCUCACUCACUCCUGUCACCAUAAAUCUGCAGUGGUCUCUGGUAGGAAUGUGAGUCGAUUUCUGUGUUUCAGGAAGUAGAAGUUAGUCGGAGGAGAGGAGGACAACAGGAUUUAGAGUCUUUCUCAUUAGUAUUCAUGAUAUUCAGACAUCUAACCUCUGAUUGGUUAACUCAGUCACUGCCAGUGACGACUAAAGUCGUCAUUUGCAUUUUUUUACUGUUUGAGCAUCGGAACGAGCCCCCGCGCUGAGAGAACAAACAUCUCAGCCCUGAAGCCGAUCUUCAUCCGCAUACGUCACAGAUCACAUGAUCAGGAAGCAACACAUCCAUGUGUUUGGAGAUCGUUUUGGGCCGUUCCUGUAAAAAAAGUGAGGCGCGAACCGGAAAAGUGUCUGCCGAUCACAAUUCAACAACGGAUUAUGAAAGAACGGAUAACGCUCGAAACACACGGCUUCUUCCUGAUGUAAGAGGUGAGUCUCUUCUUUGUUUUGUUUGUUUUGGCAUCGACAUCAUGCUAGCGCGCAACGUUCUGUGACUCUUAAAAAAACAGUAAAAACGGUGAGAAACGCUGGCAGCGAAUAAGUUAACAGCAGCGCAGCUCUUUCACUGCCUCAGUUUGCUCUGCAACGCUGAUGUUUUAUCUCCACAAAUAACACAUGCUUGGAGGAGUUCUGCUGUGUGGUGGAGUUGCUAAUGCUAGCGAUUAGCUUCUACGUGCUCUGCUCUCUCCUGGAUGCAAAAACCAACAACGGCCUUCCCUGUCACGAGCCAAGAUGGGUGAGUCCAUGAAUGUUUCCUUUCACUGUGACCAAGAACUUUGUGGCUGUUUCUAGUCCGAGCAUUCCCCGUCAAAAUUAAUUCAACAACUAAUUCAGGAAAUAGGUGUAGAAGACUAUUUUUGAGUUCUGCAUGCAUGUGAAACUCAGCGCGACCGAUCGUUUUUGAAAAAGAACAAGUAUUAAAUGUUUCUCAGUGGACCUGCCUUUAACAUUUAGACGGUUGAUUAAUUGUGCGCUCUUUUAAAAGUCGUAGCUUUUAAAAUAACGUACUUUAGACUGUUUCCACAAUUUUACACAUCUAUCAGUGUGUUCUGACACAGAUAUGUAGCACAGGUUUGAGUUCAGAUUAGCAUUAAUCCAGCACAUACGCUACAGUGUGUGCUGCGGCUCUGGCGGCUGCUGGAUUAAUGGAACAUCUUGAUCUCCUGCACCUUCUGAAUUCAGAGUUUUAUUCAUUUCCACCAGAAAACAGAUUUGGGAUGACAACUUGUAACUGAACAGUGUUGGGAGUAAUGUGGUACAAAAGUAAUUAAUUACUGUAAUGCAUUGCUUUUUGCUGUAAUGUGGUAAUGUAAGGCAUUACAGGGAAAGAAAAUGGUAAUAUUUACUCGGUACAAUUGUCAGUAACGCGGUAAUUACAACGCAUUUUUAAACCCAGAAUCAAGAUGGGUUCCUUAAAAAUCCAAAUUGCGGGAAACCCGAAGAAAGAUCCAGUAUCUGCAUAUAUUACUUCAUUUAUGGACUCAGCUUUGCGGGCAGAGAGGACGCCGCGGUAACGGCUCAGCUGCGUCCUGCACGCGGCCGCUGUAACAUUCACAAAAUCGCUCCACUAAAACAAAAUAAUUCACUUGCGAUUGUUCAUAUCGGCGCAUGCUCUCUGGUAUUUUGUGCUUUCCUGACGUGCUUUGCCUCAGCUGAGUUAAUAAUCUGUACCCCGGUGAUUUCAACUCAUUACUGCUGGAGCGCCGCGCAUGUGAAGAUCCCUUUGGCUGAUCGUUAGAAAGUAGGAAAUCUAGGAAACAGUUUUUUCUGGAAGACGGAGAAAACAUGCAGCAUGCAGGAAGGUUAGAGAGAGAAAGGGCCGGAAAUUAUUCACAUAAAACCAAGAAAAAAAAAGAAAAAAGUAGGUAGAUUUAUCCCCAAUACACAUUUUUACCAGUGAAAAGCAAUAAUAUAUAAGCAUUUAAUAUUUAUACAUGUGAUAGAAUCAGAUCACCCCAGAAGUCAGUCCCACAUCCAGGGCCGUAUCAAGGCAUUUGGGGACCAAGGCAAAUAUAGGCUUGGAGCCCCCACCACCUCACUCCCUGCUCAGUUAAUCUAAGAUGGCAGAUUGUUGUUGCUUUUAUUUAAUAAACAAUCAUUUUAAAGCACUGUUAUUAUAUCUGACUGUUUUUAACAGCAACCCUAGCUCAGACACCACAUCACCUUCCACAUAUAUGUCAUGAGCUCACUGAGCGUCACAUGACCAGAUUCAUAUUGAAGUUGUUUUGGUGAAAGUAACUUAAAGUAAUUCAAAAGUAGUGUAAUCCUUACAUUUUAAAAUCAGUAAUAUUGUAAUGUAAUGAAUUACUUUAAAAUGAGGGUAACAAGUAAUAAAUAAUGCAUUACAGUUUUGAAGUAACUUGCCCAACACUGUAACUGAAGCUGUUACAGGAGAUCGUUAUAUCUUUCUAUUGAGAUACUAAAUAAGAGUAAGAGGUCUGUUAUUUUUCUGCAGGAUUUCAGCAUGUCAGCUUGUCACAUGACUGUGAUGGACAACGCUCCAGAUCUUAUCUGACGCCCACCUUGAGGACACUCAGGGCCACCCUGCCUUCUGAGCUCUACCUGUUAGUCACAUGUCGGGCCGUCUCUCCUGCAGCCGCUCCGUGAAGCUGAAACAUUGUGGAUCCCUCAAGUGCCGCUGACAUCAACAGUGUCUGGAUUAUAACUGCUUUGAUGGAGGAGGCAUGUGGCGAACACUACCAUGUGGGCCUGGCGCCGAGUGACUCACCUAUCAGGUGCAGGGGGUCAGAGGUGACAGCUGCACUUAAUUAACAUACCAGGUUCUCAUACUGGAAGCGUGUUCGGCUGUUAACUGGACCCACAUACGGGGUAAAGAAUGUUUAGGUUUCCCAGUGUAUCAACCUUUGGAGUUAUCAAGGGUGUUUUUGUCUCCUUCUCAUCCAUUCCUGCAUUCUUUCAUCACCUUCCCCUUUUCCUCUGCGUCUUUGUUCCAGCUCAAAAAUUUUAGGAGCGGGUCUGAAAGGUGAGCUCAGCUCAGCCGCUCACCGUGAGCUGCAUGUUUCACAUUACGGGAAUAUCUCGACCCUGCGUUCCGUUCACCUCUGGAGAUGAUAAAGCUGCUCAGUGGCUCCUGAAAGCAGCUUUCCUUCAGGGUGCUAACAGUGACCCGAGUGCAGGAGCAGAACAACGGGUCCAUUCACUUUGGAGAACUGAGGGAUGCUGAAUCGAGCUAAAGAGAGAGCUGAGAAGCAUCACACUCCAACUCUGAUGCAGCAUGUCCCAACUAAAGGAGAAAUAUUACGGUAUCACAUCCACGUCCAAAGUACCUGAGCUGCUGUUUUCAUCUGGGUUGAGAUGUUCAUGAAAAAUGUCUCCUCCCAUUAACCAGAGGUGCCUCUAGAAAGUCUCCACAAGGAAAUCCAGACAAGGGUCCCUGGUAAUCCUGAACUACGGAAGAGGAUUAGGGCUACUGAAAGAACACAAAAAGAAAAGAAAAAAAUUUCUGACUUUUUUUCACAGAAGUCAAAAAGUCAGAAUUCUGAGAAAAGUGUCAGUAAUCGGAUUUUAAAGUGGGAAUUCUGACUUUAAACUCAGUCAGAAUUAUUUUACUUGUUUGUUUCUUUUAAGCUCAGUUGCACUCAGAACAUUAUGAGACUAUGUGAGUAAAGUCACAAUUCUGAGAUUAAAGUCAGAAUGUUCAGAAAAAAAUCAGAAAUCUAAGAUUAAAGUCAGAAAUCUGAGAAAAAAGGCAGAAAUCUGAGAUUAAAGUAUGCGUUACGAUAUCAAAGUCAGAAUCCUGCGAAAGGUCAGAAUUAUGAGAUUAAAGUCGGAAUUCUAAAAAAGAGGCAGAAAUCUCAGAAUUAUGAGAUUAAAGUCAGAAAUCUGAGAAAAAAGGCAGAAAUCUGAGAUUAAAGUAUGCGUUACGAUAUCAAAGUCAGAAUCCUGCGAAAGGUCAGAAUUAUGAGACUAAAGUCGGAAUUCUAAAAAAGAGGCAAAAAUCUCAGAAUUAUGAGAUUAAAGUCAGAAAUCUGAGAUUAAAGUCAGAAUUCCGAGAUUAAAGUCUAAAUUCUUUUUCUUGUUUGUAUCUUUUAAGCAGCUCAAUUUCAGUCAGAAUAUUAUGAGACUAUGAGAUUAAAGUCAGAAUUCUGAGAUUAAAGUCAGAAAUCUGAGAUUAAGGUCAGAAUUGUGAGAUUUAAAUCUGAAUUUUAAUGUUCAAGUCAGAAGUCUGAUUAAAAUAAGAAUUUUUGGAAAGAAAAAUCAGAAAUCUAAGACUAGAUCCAUAAAUCUGAGAAAAAAGCAGAAAUCUGACAUGAAAAUCAGAAAAUUUGAUAUCAAAGUCAGAAUUCUAAGAAAAAGGCCAGAAAUCAAAGCUUAAAGUCAGAAUUCUGAUGAAAACAGCAUAAAUCUGAGAUUAAAAUCUGAAAUCUGACUUUAAAAACAGAAUUCUGAGAUUAAAGUCAGAAUUCUGGAAAAAAGAGGCAGAAAUCUGAAGUAAGUAAUUCUGAAAAAGUGCAUGCUUGUGUGAUUAAAGUCAUAAUUCUUGGAUAAAAGUCAUAAUUCUGAUUUAGUAUCAGAUUUUGGAAAAAAGGCAGAAAUCUGAGAUUAAAGUAAGAAUUAUUAAAUCAAAGUCAGAAUUCUGAGAAUAGGCAGGAUUAUGAGAUUAAAGUCGGAAAUCUUAGAUUAAAUUCAUAAAUCUGAGAUUAGUCAAAAAUCUGAGAUUAAAAUCAGAAUUUUUAGUUUUAUAAAAAUUGCAAAUCUGAAAAAAGACAGAAAUCUGAGAUUACAUCAGAAUUCUGAUAAAAGGGCCUAAUUGUGUGAUUAAAGUCAUCAUUCUUAGAUUAAAGUCAUAAUCCUGAGAUUAAAGUCAGAACUCUUUUUCUUUAGUGGCUUAAUUUCAGUCACAAUAUUAUGAGAUUAUGAUCAGAAUUAUGAUAAAAGAAGCAGAAAUCAAAUUUUAAAGUCGGAAUUCUGAGAUUAAAGUCAGAAAUCUGAGGAACAAAGGCAGAAUUCUGAAGUUUAAGUAAGAAUUAUGAGAUUAAAGUCAUGAUAGUUUGGUGUUGUUGUUUUCAGUGGCCCAUGUCCUCUUCCACACACCACCAGCUGAAGCUGUAACUAAUAAUUUAUAUGAAUCUGUGGAGGGAAUAGCCCGUUUGGAUUAAACAUUAGCUCAUCUUUAAUCACUCGCUGGUGUGUUUGUGAAGCAGCAGUUUUGGGUCUGAAGUGUCGGUGGGAGGGGAGUGUGAGGGCAUAAAGGGAGGCUUUGAGAGGAAAUCUGCCAGCAGGAUUUUUUUUCUUGUGAGGAUGGUGGAACGUUCUUUUGUUCUCCACAGAGGGCGUACAGUUGGAGAGCAGGUGUGCAUGAAAGCACAGAAACACAGGUGAGCCCUUAUCGUGAGUGAAAGACAAGUCAUGUGGAAUCCAAGAUGAACGGAUUUACAGAGAAAAGCUGCGUGUGUUCCUCCACACGCAGCAGGUAUCUGGUAAGAGACACAAGUUUAGCAUUAGCUUCAAUAGCCUCAGGUGGUAGAUGUUAGCUAAUGAGUCAGCUGGGUGAUUAUAUCAGCCUGCUAGAAAUGAUGUGGGUAUUUAAAGAGCAGCAAGCCGUUUAAUCAUCUGACCAUCGCCAGUUUCUUAUCAAGGCUGUUUUUAACUUCGUCACGUGGAUGCAGAUGUAAAUGAUCACCGUUUUCAUCCUAUGUGGACUGUUUAACCCCAUUUUGUUAUGUAAUAAAUUGUAUGAGUGUGUGACACGUCAGCUGGGCCAGCGGCACCAGCCCGCUGCCUGGCUGCAGAAGGGGUGGGGGGCGGGAAUCGUCCUGGAAUAGCUCUGCUGGCCUGGAAUGCUGAGGGGAAUGUUUUACAGUGGGAUUUGAUUGGUCUGUGUGUGUGUGUGUGUGUGUUGGUGAGUGGUAUAAGUUAUCAGAAGGUGAUGGAAUCUGCUUCCAGAUCAGCCGAGGGGAGAUCCAUCCUCUGUGUGGUCAGCAGGUUGACAGCCGGUCUGUGCCGGGGUCUCGGCCAUGUGUCUGUUCUGUCUGCACCUUGUUGUUGUGGCUGCCACCGCCCCCCGCCCCCCGCCUGUGUGUGAGUGACGCGUCAUCGAUCGGCUCCCGGCUUUGUGAAAUCAAAUCUGGCUCGUCCAUCUCAGAGGAGAGGCGCACAGACAGGCAGCCCAUUAGGCCCCAUGCUCUGCAGGCUGACCUUUGACCCGCAGCCCCCUGUUUGACCAAAAGGAGCUGAACGGCCAUGCCAGGUCAGCGUUUUGCUCAGCCAUCAGCAGGAACUCCUCAAGGUCUACACACGCAGGCACAUGCGGGUAAAAGUGCCUGCAGAGUCAUGAGGCCCAAAGCACAAACGGCUAAUUCAUGAUCCUCCGAACAGAUCAGAUAAAGCUCUAAAGUGGACCUUUCAGCAGCUCGUGAGUCAGAGUGUAACAGCAGUGUGAACCGAGGGCAUCAGACUCUCACGGCCCAGCCUGCUGGAAGGAUUGGCCCUUCAGGAAUCCUGUGUGAACCCCGAGUUCCUCCUCUUCCUCAAACCUCAGCAAACCCAAACCUCUGCCACAUCUCCGGCUGAAGGACUACUCCCAAUGCCUUGUUUGCUCAGCUGUGCUGGCUUAAUCGAACCCAUGUUCCUGCUUUGUUUUCUCCUUUUUCCUGCAACAGUCUGAAGCUUUUGUUUUUCUUUUCUAUGUUUGGCUUUUGUUGUGCUCCUCUGUCUUUAUGGGAUUGACGCCUGCAACGUCAAGAGGUCAGGAAGAUGGCUACCUGUGGAAGUCUCACAUUCCCCCGCAGCAGCGUAGUGUCACAGAGGUGUUAACAUGUACAGCAGUCAUGUAAACACGUCUUUGCUGAGCCCGCUGCCUGGGUUCGGUCUCUGAAUCUCUGCAGGAGACGCUAAAUGCAUUCACACAGGUAUUUGAAAUAAUCAUUCUGGUCAUUUGGGAAUGUUUUCCUCUGCAGAAGUUGGUGAAUCACUUCCUGCUUGGAAAAACAGUUUAUGUCUUGCUUAGAUUGAUGAGCUAACAGCUAGUUCAAGCAUGUGUUUCUGCUGACCUUAAAACAUCUUAUCUAGUCCCAGUUAAUCUCAUUUCACAGAUAUUUAACUACUCCGCUAUUUAAAAUGAAUUCUAUGGAGAAUAAAUAUCCCCACCAGCAAAAUGUAGCACUUCCUGUCCAUCCAAGUGGGUCAGAAAUUCUAUGUACUAACCGCCUAAUCUUCACUAGGGUCACAGGCGAGAGGCGGGACAGGAUGGGACACCCUGGACACAUCUCCAGUCCAUCAGGGACACACAGAGAUAAAUGACCAGUAUCUCACUCACACCUAGGCACAAUGUAGCGCCUCCAAAUAACCUGACUUGUAUGCUUUUGGUCUGUGUGGAGGAAACUGGAGAAAACCCACGCAUGGAUGGGGAGAACCUGGAAAUUCCUGGCAGAAAGGUUGCAGCUGGGAUUCAAACAUACAGUGCUUACUGCACCACCAGGCAGCCCUUUCUUGAAAUGUCCCCCAAAAUAAGCAGAUGAGACAAAACCAUGGACUGUAUACAUAAUGGACAAACCCUCCGCGCCGUCACUCGUAUGUUUCUGAAGAGCUGAAUUAAAGCUCAGUGGGCGGUUCCCAACACCGCCAUCUGCGAGUGAUUAAAGCCAUCUAGAGCAGAGGGCGGGGCAGAUGACCGACACCCAUCAAACUCUGACAUGAUGUAGCUACGAGCUAACUGAGCUAACCAAAGCUAACAGAUUGGCAUGCACUUUUAGCCAGAACACUGCAAUCGAGUGACGCUGCUACCCUCUACUACAUUUAACGUGAGGUCGAGGCUGAGACCUUCAUUGGAGUACAUGAGGGGGGCGGGCUUGCGCUAGCACUAGCGCUAGCACUAGCACUGAUAGCUCAGUUUCAAGCUUUAAUUACAUCUAAAUGGAUGCAGGGCUACCAACUCUCACGCAUUUGACUCUUUUCACACGCUCUCACACCACACCUCCAAUAUCUCACGCUGAUUAAUCAGUGCCGGCAGCUACUUUGGGGGCAAAUUUCGAUUUUAAAAGUAAGUCAACUAAUUUAAAAUGUAUUUUUUAGAUCCAAAGAAGUUAUCUAUGGUUGUUAGUUGCUUAGUAGUUGCAGCUUCGGUGGCUAGCGGGUAGUAACUCGCUUAUAUAUUUAAUUUAAUAAACAUAUAUACAAUUUAAAAAGUAACAAGCGCUUUAUGUAUUUAUAUUGAAGCUUAUCUGUAUAAAAUAUUACGUUAUCUCCCGUGCUACGUGACGUUACGUGACCGCCGUGGAAGGCGCGGUCACGCGAUGCAGGUCUGUUUCAUUUAACCAUUUUCUUUGACCAAGGAAGGACCGUGUCCUCGUAAGCAAGGCGCCUUGACACUGAGAAACACCCUAAAAUGUUUUUUGAACCCGGCUGUAAACAUGUUUAGUUCUGCUGUGAAGUUGUCUUCACUUUUGGCAGGCGGAGUCUGCCUCUUGGGCAAAACUGACGACUGUUUAGGUUUAUAAAGGAACAUUUACACAAAUCAAUGUAAAAGGAUCAAGCUUAUCAAUGUCCUUUGAUGUCUUGAUCAAAACACUUUUCUUUUGGCCUCAGACUAGCUGUUAGCUCAUCAGUCCUCUCCUUUAAGGCAGGAACCAGGUGUGUCUCACCUGCAAAGAUGCGUAGGCGUUUGCGCCUCGGCGGCGGCCCCAGCCCCGACACCCCAGCACACUCGUCCUCAUCAUCACAGUCCCCGCUUGUCAAUCCCUCUUCGGCCUCGUCGCUCCACCCGUUAGCUCCGCCUCCUCUUGACCUGGCUCGCCAACGCUUCUCCGACACCGUUACCGUGUUCAGCAGCUGCAGAGGGAAAACCAAGGCAGGAUUAAAGAAAGUGACGUUAAAACACACACGGUGAGCAGAAGGUGUCUUCACCGAAUAUCAAAGCGGUGAAAAUGAUCCAGAGGAGUCUUUGGGCCUCGGCAUGUUCCGUGUGAUUACAGGAGUAUGAGGGGAAUUCCAGACACAAACUCUGCAAAUUCUAAAAGUGUCGCUAUUUACCAAACUUAUAAUCACUGAGAAGGAACAACGUUUUGGUAGUUUUGCCAGCCUUGUGUAUUUUAGUAGAAACGUGAUUCAUUCAAAGGCCUGUGGCUUUCGGUCCGUGUAAUUUACCGGUAGAAAAGGAAACCCAGUGGGUGAGCAGACUGGUGAAACUGUUUUUACUGGCAAAACGUAUUGUCUUGAGUGGUUUUCUCAGGGCCGAAACACAACAUCACACACAGCUCAAGAGAAAAUCUGGAGCUCAGGGUCUAAAAUAAAAAAAUGGAAAUGAA